rnacentral:tRNA from 1 species
GGAGGUGUGGCUCAAAAGAUAGAGCACUUGCCUAGCAAGGCCAAAACCAUGAGUUCAAACCCCAAUGCCACCA